rnacentral:rRNA from 1 species
GACGAACGCUGGCGGCGUGCUUAACACAUGCAAGUCGAACGGAAAGGCCCUUCGGGGUACUCGAGUGGCGAACGGGGGAGUAACACGUGGGUGAUCUGCCCUGCACUUUGGGAUAAGCCUGGGAAACUGGGUCUAAUACCGAAUAGGACCACGCGCUUCAUGGUGUGUGGGGGAAAGCUUUUGCGGUGGGGGAUGGGCCCGCGGCCUAUCAGCUUGUUGGUGGGGUAAUGGCCUACCAAGGCGACGACGGGUAGCCGGCCUCAGAGGGUGACCGGCCACACUGGGACUGAGAUACGGCCCAGACUCCUACGGGAGGCAGCAGUGGGGAAUAUUGCACAAUGGGCGCAAGCCUGAUGCAGCGACGCCGCGUGAGGGAUGACGGCCUUCGGGUUGUAAACCUCUUUCAAUAGGGACGAAGCGCAAGUGACGGUACCUAUAGAAGAAGCACCGGCCAACUACGUG